GUCCCGCUUUGGGCCGGAGCAGAGGGCGGGCGCUUGAGUGGGAAGUUGGCCCUGGCGGGCGCUGCACGUUCACCCCCAGCGCUGGCUCCCGGGGCCACUGUCCAGCCUGGCUGUGGAGAACCGGAGAGGCAGCCCUGAGCUAACAUCUGCUGCCUAAUCCUACUCUUUUUGCUGAGGAAGCCUGGCCCUGAGCUGACAUCCGUGCCCAUCUUCCUCUACUUUAUAUGUGGGACGCCUACCACAGCAUGACUUAGCCAAGCGGUGCCACGUCCGCACCCAGGAUCCGAACCAGUGAACCCUGGGCUGUCGAAGCAGAAUGUGUGCACUUAACCGCUGCGCCACCAGGCCGGCCCCUAAAGGGGAAUGUUUUUGUGUAUAGUUUGUUUGACUUAAUAAAAAAAAAUGUUUAAGGCGCAGAGCUACUUGAAGAACCAAACUGAUUCAGAGGGAGAAGGGAUUUGGGCAAGAAUGAAUGAAAAUCCACUAUAGACUGGAGUUGGGGAAAGAAAAAAGAGUUUUGGAGGUGAAGGAGGAGCCGUGAAAUGAUAGGGAGAAAGAUGGGCAAAGAGACUAUGUAUACCUCUGGAGUGUAUGACAUGUGAUAUAAUUCAUCCUCCACACCUCUCCCAGGCUGUUCAGCAAAGACUCAAACAGCUUUGCAAUUCGGAUGUUGGACUUUUCUUUCACGUGUAAAACUGAGACUGACCAAGAGGCAGACUGGUUUUAUUUGAGUUCAACUUAUUUGGCAAAUAUGGAUAGAGAACCUUCUAUGGUGGGCACUGGGCUGGGCCCUGGACACACGGGGACAGUAAGAGUUCCACAGUGACCUCUACUACAUUGAGACAAAUCAUGCAACGAGGCAGAAACACAGGUUUGUGGAAGCAGAGGCGGGAUCAGGGAUUCUGCCUGAGAGUCACGAAGGCCCGGCAGAGGUGGGGACAUGGGGGUUGGGCCUUGAUGCAAACAUCAGGAUGCUCCAGCCAGAAGAACUGGGGAAAGGCAUCGCCGGCUGGGUUGAGCGGACCUGCUCCCAAGGUUCUAGGCUGCAAUCUGUGGGGUUGGAAGAGUCCCAGAACGCAUGCUCCUCCUGUAGCUAAUGCUAAGGGCGCCCCCAGGGAGAACCAUUUGCAUGCCUUCCCUCCAUGCAGGAAACCUCUGGGAGGCGGCGGACAAGCGCCAGCCUUUGAGCUGAAAAUCCGGG
rnacentral:lncRNA from 1 species